rnacentral:miRNA from 1 species
UGAGAUAUAGUAGGUUGGUGCAAAAGUAAUUGUGGUUUUCCCAUUACUUUUAAUAGCAAAAAUAGCAAUUACUUUUGCACCAACCUAAU